rnacentral:rRNA from 1 species
AGGAAGGUAGUGUAGUUAACACCUGCAUUAUUUGACGUUACCUACAGAAGAAGCACCGGCUAACUCCGUGCCAGCAGCCGCGGUAAUACGGAGGGUGCGAGCGUUAAUCGGAAUUACUGGGCGUAAAGCGCAUGCAGGCGGCCUGUUAAGUCAGAUGUAGAAAGGCCCGGGGACCGUUUAACCUACCGGUAAGUUGCUAUUUAGUAAACUAGGCGAGGCUAGAGUCUUGUAGAGGGGGGUAGGAAUUUCAGGUGUAGCGGUGAAAUGCGUAGAGAUCUGAAGGAAUACCAGUGGCGAAGGCGGCCCCCUGGACAAAGACUGACGCUCAGAUGCGAAAGCGUGGGGAGCAAACAGGAUUAGAUACCCUGGUAG